GUUAUACUUCCUUCGUCCCAAAAAGCGCGACUUAGAUUUGUCUAGAUAGAGAUGUAUCUAAACACGUUUUAGUGUUAGAUUCAUCUGUAUCUAGAUAAAUCUAAGACAAACUUUUUGGGACGGAGGUAAUAGAAC
rnacentral:pre_miRNA from 1 species